rnacentral:snoRNA from 1 species
AGGUCAUUUCAAAGAGGGCUUGUUGGACUGUGAAACCAAAAGCUCUUAACGCUGUGACCAGAGAUUGAUGUUCUCCACAGAACAAAACAAGCACUCAAUAGUGCUGUGUUUUUCUGAGAAGAUACAUGC